rnacentral:rRNA from 1 species
GACGUAGGGCGCGAGCGUUGUCCGGAUUUAUUGGGCGUAAAGAGCUCGUAGGCGGCUUGUCGCGUCGAAUGUGAAAACUCGGGGCUCAACCCCGCGCUUGCAUUCGAUACGGGCAGGCUCGAGUUCGGUAGGGGAGACUGGAAUUCCUGGUGUAGCGGUGAAAUGCGCAGAUAUCAGGAGGAACACCGGUGGCGAAGGCGGGUCUCUGGGCCGUAACUGACGCUGAGGAGCGAAAGCGUGGGGAGCGAACAGG